rnacentral:misc_RNA from 1 species
UCUCCGUUGGUGAACCAGCGGAGGGAUCAUUACCGAGUGCAAACUCAUAACCCUUUGUGAACCUAUAUCUGUUGCUUCGGCGGCUCGCCCUCGGGCGAGCCCGCCGGUAAUAUCAGUAUCUCUGUUUGAACCCGACGAUACUUCUGAGUGUUCCUAGCGAACAGUUAAAACUUUUAACAACGGAUCUCUUGGCUCUA